rfam:Oryza brachyantha chromosome 2, whole genome shotgun sequence.
AAUAACCUUAUUUUUCGUUUUUCCGUGUCCAACGUUUGACCAUUCGUCUUAUUUGAAAUUUUUUGCAAUUAAUAUUUUUAUUGUUAUUAGAUGAUAAAAUACGAAUAGUAAUUUAUAAGUGACUAAUUUUUUUAAGCUUUUGUACAAAUUUUUCAAAUAAGACGAAUGGUCAAACGUUGGACACGAAAAAC